rnacentral:rRNA from 1 species
AUUGAACGCUGGCGGCGUGCCUAAUACAUGCAAGUAGAACGCAGUUGCGAACGGGUGAGUAACGCAUAGGUAACUCCUUGGUAGCGGGGGAUAACUCUUGGAAACGACAGCUAAUACCGCAUACUACCAGCUCGAACUGCGUUUUAUUGGCUAGUUGGGGGGGUAACGGCUCACCAAGGCAACGAUACAUAGCCGACCUGAGAGGGUGAUCGGCCACACUGGGACUGAGACACGGCCCAGACUCCUACGGGAGGCAGCAGUAGGGAAUCUUCGGCAAUGGACGGAAGUCUGACCGAGCAACGCCGCGUGAGUGAAGAAGGUUUUCGGAUCGUAAAGCUCUGUUGUAAGAGAAGCGGUAUCUUACCAGAAAGGGACGGCUAACUACGUGCCAGCAGCCGCGGUAAUUC